AGGACGAACGCUGGCGGCGUGCUUAACACAUGCAAGUCGAACGGAAAGGCCCGCUUGCGGGUACUCGAGUGGCGAACGGGUGAGUAACACGUGGGCAACCUGCCCUCAGCUUCGGGAUAACUCUCGGAAACGGGUGCUAAUACCGAAUGUUGACAUUUCCUCGCAUGGGGUUGUGUUGAAAGUUUUUCGGCUGGGGAUGGGCCCGCGGCCUAUCAGCUUGUUGGUGGGGUGAUGGCCUACCAAGGCGACGACGGGUA
rnacentral:rRNA from 1 species